UUGAAAUAAACAUAAAUCUACGAGCUGAGGAAAAAUAGAUGACGCAAUUAAUUCACUUGCAAUAUCUGAUGAUAGAAAUUCAUUUCGAGCUCAGUAUCAAUUAUAGUCUUGCAUAGAUAAGACACGAAUCUGAGAUUACUCAUCUAAUUACUGACUCAAAAAAACAAAAAUGUCGAAAUUCAUUUUACUGCUAUCGAUUUUUUUGAUUAUUGGCUUAUAUGCUAGUGCAGUUGAAGGUUGCAAAGGUGGUUGGUGUUACCCUUCGAAUGGUUAUCAAUGUUGUAGGGGAUAUGAAUGCUCUUCAUUCUUCGCCGAAGGAACUUGCAAAGAUCAUUCUGAGUUUGGUCUGCCAAUUUGAAAAUCAAAAUUAUUAAAAAACAUGAAUUAGUGAAAAUGAAUGAAUAUUCACUAAUUUCAACCCGUGUGAAAAAAAUUUGUUCCAAAAAGAUUCCAAAAAAGUUCUGCAUGUGGAACUUCUAAACAUGAGACAGAUUAGAACUUCGAAUGGAACUUUUUUGGAACGAUAGUCAUUUUGAUGGUAAAUAAAAAGUUUUUAUGAGUGAAUUUAGAGUAAAAAAAGAACGUUCUUAGAAAUUUUUGGAAUUUUAAAUGGACAUUCAAAAAAAGUUCCAUAAUCACCACUUUUGGCCUUUUUCGAAAGCUAAAAAAGACGUUCCAAAAACAUUCAAAAAUGGUUCAAAAAUCGUUACUUUACAACCUAUUAUAGAACUAAAGUAGAUGUUCCAAAAACAUUCCAAAAAAGUUCCAGAAUCACCACUUUUGACUUUUUAUGGACUAAAGAAGGCGUUCCAAAAACUUUCAAAAAUCACUUCUUUUGCAUCUUUUGUAGAAUAAAAACGUUCCAGAAAUAUGCCAAAAUAGUUCAAAAAUCACUACUUUUGAAUUUUUUAUAGAACUAAAAAAAAACGUCCAUAAAAAAUUCCAAAAAAGUGCCAAGAACGUCCUUUUUUGACUCUAAAUUUGCUCAUAACAACUUUUUUUUUAC